rnacentral:rRNA from 1 species
UGGGGAAUAUUGGGCAAUGGAGGAAACUCUGACCCAGCGACGCCGCGUGCGGGAGAAGGCCUUCGGGUUGUAAACCGCUUUCAGCAGGGAAGAAGCGAAAGGACGGUACCGCAAA